GACGAACGCUGGCGGCGUGCCUAAUACAUGCAAGUAGAACGCUGAAGGAGGAGCUUGCUCUUCUGGAUGAGUUGCGAACGGGUGAGUAACGCGUAGGUAACCUGCCUGGUAGCGGGGGAUAACUAUUGGAAACGAUAGCUAAUACCGCAUAAGAGUAGAUGUUGCAUGACAUUUACUUAAAAGGUGCAAUUGCAUCACUACCAGAUGGACCUGCGUUGUAUUAGCUAGUUGGUGGGGUAACGGCUUACCAAGGCGACGAUACAUAGCCGACCUGGGAGGGGGGUCGGCCACACUGGGACCUGGGCCCGGCCCAGACUCCUACGGGGGGCCGCAGGAGGGAAUCUUCGGCAAAGGACGGAAAUCUGACCGAGCAACGCCGCGUGAGUGAAGAAGGGUUUCGGAUCGUAAAGCUCUGUUGUAAGAGAAGAACGAGUGUGAGAGUGGAAAGUUCACACUGUGACGGUAUCUUACCAGAAAGGGACGGCUAACUACGUG
rnacentral:rRNA from 1 species